CUGGCGGCGAGUGGCGGACGGGUGAGUAAUGCAUAGGAAUCUGCCCAGUAGCGGGGGACAACUUAGGGAAACUUAAGCUAAUACCGCAUACGCCCUACGGGGGAAAGCAGGGGAUCUUCGGACCUUGCACUAUUGGAAGAGCUUGCGUUAGAUUAGCUAGUUGGUGGGGUAAAGGCUCACCAAGGCGACGAUCUAUAGCUGGUCUGAGAGGAUGAUCAGCCACACUGGGACUGAGACACGGCCCAGACUCC
rnacentral:rRNA from 1 species